UACGUAGGGUGCAAGCGUUGUCCGGAAUUAUUGGGCGUAAAGAGCUCGUAGGCGGUUUGUCGCGUCUGCUGUGAAAACUUGGGGCUUAACCCCGGGCCUGCAGUGGGUACGGGCAGACUAGAGUGCGGUAGGGGAGACUGGAAUCCCUGGUGUAGCGGUGAAAUGCGCAGAUAUCAGGAGGAACACCAGUGGCGAAGGCGCCGCUCUGGGCCGUGACUGACGCUGAAGAGCGAAAGCGUGGGUAGCAAACAGG
rnacentral:rRNA from 1 species